GUUUGAGUGGCUAUUUAAAUUCCAGGCGCUCGUCGAUCAAGGUGACGCGCGUCGCCGCUAAUGUAUUGGCCGAGCAAACAAUGAGCUGGG